AUUUCAUCGUAGGAUUCAGAUCUAUUGGUAGAAAGUAAAACAAAAAAAUUCUAAAAAUUUAAGUUAUACACAAAUUUGGAGUGACUUAUUUUUUAAAAUACUUUCGGAAUAUCUCGAGUUUUCCCACACAUUGAUAAUGAAUUUUUGCUCAGUGCCCUACGAAGCUGAUUACGGCAUGUACGCCGAUUCCAAGAUGAAAAGCGUGCCCCAGUACCCUCUGGCCAUGGGUGCCAGUCAGGGUCAAGGACAGUCCAUGGCCAUGCAGCCGCUGAAUCCACCACAGAUGAAUCUGCAGAUGCAGAUGCCCGUGUGCCAGUCGGGCGCCUCAUCAUACCCCAUGCAGGGUAUGCCGCUGGGCAUGAUGCAAGGGGGUAAUCAGAUGACUCCCAUGUCCACGAUGAGCACCCAGCUGCCGAUUGGAGCGGUAACGCCCCUCAACAGCAUGACCAUGAUGCCCAUGAUGGGCAAUCCCAUGGGCGCCAUCGACGCCCCCGGUAUCAAUGCAGUGCUGCCCGACCUGCAGCCCAUGAGCUCCAUGAGUCAGAUGCAGCCACUGCAGCAGUACAAUCCAACGGGAUCUUCCACCCAAAUGCAUCAGGGUCGUCUGACGGGCGGCUGCAGUACGGGAAUGGCCGCGGCCUGUCCGUCGUCGCCCACGAAUACUGGCAACUGGAGCUCCAGUCCCAGCUCCAACCAGAUGAGCAAUGCCAACAUGUGGCAAUACAGCCAGCCCAUGCAGAGUCACCAGCCGCAGUACCAACAGUUGCAGCACUUCCAGCAGCAGCAGAGCCCAUCCCACCAGCAGGUCAGCCGGAUGAAGCCCUCCUACGACGCACCCAUGUACCGGGACAUGCGCAACGGUCUGAACACACCGUCCAUGCACGAUUCUUCGAAGUACAGCAAAGGCAAUCAAUCAUUCAAUUGUGGAAAAGCGCUUACCAAGGUCCCCCAUUGGCGUUGACGAACCCCAUGAGCCCAUCAUUAGUUGUUUUUGUACUUUUGCAUGAUUGGUGUCUCUUUAUUUGCACAACUUGUUCCAAGACUUCCCCUACGCAAGCAAACAGAUACUCAAGCCCACAAGAAACACAGACAUGGUCGCAAACAUAUUGUUUUUCAUCCAGCGACUUUAAGCGCCCUGAUUUAUGGCCAUCAGACAUCAAAAUUGGCAACAUGUUCGUGGGGAGGGAGCUCAGCGAAGGAAAAGUGGACGAGGGAAAGCUGAACUGGCUAUGAAAAAUUUAUGCUGACCGCAUGAUGAACGCAUAAAAAAUGUUGCCAACUUAUGGCCAAAAUGCAAUCCACAACCCAGUCGCUGUGCGGAGUAUAAACAAUGGCUUUAUCGGCCAAAGGCAUCAGUUGGUUGGCUCACUCCCUCCGUUCCAGGCCCCAAAAUCCCUUUCCUGCGUCCCUCCAGAGUCGUUAGAUUCUGGCCAAGUCGGGCCAAGGUGUGAAUAUUUUAUGUGGCACUAUUUUGAUACCAUAAAUCUUUUAGUAGUUGAUUCAGCAAA